GAUGAACGCUGGCGGCGUGCCUAAUACAUGCAAGUCGAGCGAACAGACGAGAGUGCUUGCACUCUCUGACGUUAGCGGCGGACGGGUGAGUAACACGUGGGUAACCUACCUAUAAGACUGGGAUAACUUCGGGAAACCGGAGCUAAUACCGGAUAAUAUUUAGCUUCGCAUGAAGCAAUAGUGAAAGACGGUUCUGCUGUCACUUAUAGAUGGACCCGCGGUGUAUUAGCUAGUUGGUGAGGUAACGGCUCACCAAGGCAACGAUACGUAGCCGACCUGAGAGGAUGAUCGGCCACACUGGGACUGAGACACGGCCCAGACUCCUACGGGAGGCAGCAGUAGGGAAUCUUCCGCAAUGGGCGAAAGUCUGACGGAGCAAUGCCGCGUGAGUGAAGAAGGUUUUCGGAUCGUAAAACUCUGUUGUAAGGGAAGAACAAGUACGUGAGUAACUGAACGUACCUUGACGGUACCUUACCAGAAAGCCACGGCUAACUACGUG
rnacentral:rRNA from 1 species